rnacentral:rRNA from 1 species
UACGUAGGGAUCAAGCGUUGUUCGGAUUUACUGGGCGUAAAGGGCGCGUAGGCGGCAUGACAAGUCACUUGUGAAAUCUCCGGGCUUAACUCGGAACGGCCAAGUGAUACUGUCACGCUAGAGUGCAGAAGGGGCAAUCGGAAUUCUUGGUGUAGCGGUGAAAUGCGUAGAUAUCAGGAGGAACACCCGUGGCGAAGGCGACCUUCUAUCUCGGAUCCGACACUGAGGCGCGAAAGCCAGGGGAGCAAACGGG